AUUGAACGCUGGCGGCAUGCUUUACACAUGCAAGUCGAACGGUAACAGGUUAAGCUGACGAGUGGCGAACGGGUGAGUAAUGCAUCGGAACGUGCCCGAUCGUGGGGGAUAACGCAGCGAAAGCUGCGCUAAUACCGCAUACGAUCUGAGGAUGAAAGCGGGGAACCGUAAGGCCUCGCGCGAUCGGAGAGGCCGAUGUCGGAUUAGGUAGUGGGGGGGGUAAAGGCCCACCAAGCCGACGAUCUGUAGCUGGUCUGAGAGGACGACCAGCCACACUGGGACUGAGACACGGCCCAGACUCCUACGGGAGGCAGCAGUGGGGAAUUUUGGACAAUGGGCGAAAGCCUGAUCCAGCAAUGCCGCGUGCAGGAAGAAGGCCUUCGGGUUGUAAACUGCUUUCGUACGGAGCGAAAAGGUCCUUUCUAAUACAAGGGGCUCAUGACGGUACCGUAAGAAUAAGCACCGGCUAACUACGUGCCAGCCGCCGCAGUAACAC
rnacentral:rRNA from 1 species